UACGUAGGGGGCAAGCGUUGUCCGGAUUUACUGGGCGUAAAGAGCGUGUAGGCGGCCAAGCAGGUCCGUUGUGAAAACUGGAGGCUUAACCUCCAGACGUCGACGGAAACCGCGUGGCUAGAGUCCGGAAGAGGCGAGUGGAAUUCCUGGUGUAGCGGUGAAAUGCGCAGAUAUCAGGAGGAACACCUAUUGCGAAGGCAGCUCGCUGGGACGUAACUGACGCUGAGACGCGAAAGCGUGGGGAGCAAACAGG
rnacentral:rRNA from 1 species